AGGAAAUAUUCUAAACUAGUUUGCUUUCACAAUAUGGUUUCUUAGCAAAGAAUCUCAUUAUUUACACAGUGAUGACAUCAAUAUUGCCAUGUUCUGUUUUAAACUGUCACAUGGAACUCACUAACCAAUUGCCACACAGCCAAUGGAACUUCACAGAUCAUGCUGCACUCAUCUUUAUAUUUCUUAAGAUACUUUCAGGUGCACACAACAUAUGUCAACUGAAUUUUUAAGCAAGACAAGAAGGAGGACAUGAAAUGAGAACUGACAGAUAUCAGAAAAGAAUUGGAAAAAAAUAAACUUUUUUUACCAGAAGAAUUAAAUUCAAAGAAACCUAAUCAGAUAUGUAUAUCACAGAAGCCAAAGUAUGAAGAUAGCAGUAAAAUUUGAAAGACAACAUUUGGUAAUUCCUCAUGGAAUAAUUUUAUCAGGAAAUAAUAAAGAAUAAGUUUUUGAGUGAAUACUUCACGGGGAACUUCAAGAUGGGAACAUAAGGCUGUCAUCUCCUGAACAACAAUUGAAAUCUCAGAUUCACUAAAAGUGGAAAAAAAAAAAAUUUUGUUUCCUGAUGUGGAGCAAUAUGAACCUCAGAGGAGUAUCUCUAAAGUGUUCAUAUCAAAACUGUAAAUUAAAUAUCUGGAGCAAACUUCAAAUUUUAGCAAAUACAGAGAAGAGAGAAACAAGUUAAAUGACUUAAUCAGAGAACAAGAGGAAACACAAUGUGGGAUGUUCUAAAGGGCUAAAUAUCACAGGUUUCCACAUUAAGAAAAAAAAAAAUAGACCUAGAAUAUCUAACAACUAAAUGUGAUACAUGAACUCUGCUAAAAUCCUUACUAAAAAAAAAAUCAACUUUAAAUAACAGUUCUGAGAAAAUAAGGAAAAUGUGAUAACAGAACAACAGCAUCAUGGUUAUACGGAAAUAAAUUACCUAUGCCGUGAAAAGAUA
ensembl:lncRNA